CGCCGAGCUCCGCGGGGCGGUGGGUGGGAAGAAACCGAGAGGGGAAGGUCUGGGGGUGUGAGGGUGGAGCGGAGCCCGGCCCCGCGAUCCGGCCCGGGUUUUGCUUGCCACCCACUCGCCCGCUCGGCCGCGGAGAAUUCCUUAAUCACAGCGGGCGAGAGCAGAGACUGGGAGCGAAAAAUCCGGGAUCCGGCAACUUUGGGCAGCGCAUGCGCGCCCGCGGCGCUCCAUCCCAAACACACACACAUUUUUCCCCCGGACUUGGAAAGUCACCCAAAGCCGCCCCAAGUGCAGGUACACACUCCAAGUCCAGGCCCCCACGGUCAAGGUGAUCCGGAUCACUCAGGCAAAGCCCCCACCUUGGUUCGAAUCAUGUGGAUAAAUGAUCCAGUUCAAGGAGAGGUCUGAUCCCCGGCCCCCUUCUCCCCAUCUCGCCUCAUAGCGUCAGCCCAAGAAUAACACAGCAGAAGAAAUACUGUCACCUAUGCAAGUAAUGAUCCUGCAGAUGAUUUCAAAACAUGGAAAAAUGUUUAUUACCUGAGUGAAAAAAACAAAACAACACACUGAAGGCCAAGUAUUGUGAACGCCAUGAUAGAAACUAUAUAAAAAUCGCAAAUGCGUGUGGACAAAGCUUGCAAGGUAAAACAGACCUCUCGGAGUGAAGGCAAAGACCCUCUCCAGCCCACCUGCCUUUCCCGCUGUUACGGCGUCAACCCGUCCUGUAGAAGGGGGUCCUGCAACUCUUGUGGUGUGUGUUGGAAUGGACUUCGGACCCCGGCUUCUUGGGAUGCAAAGGAUGAAGUGACGCCCCCACUGCGAGAGAGGAGCCUCUAGGACCCGCUACAAGAGUUUGGGACCAAAGAGAGGAGAAUGGAUCUUGGUACAGGUACC